rnacentral:snoRNA from 1 species
CUGUAUGAUGACUUACUUGGAUCUCGUUCGGCUGAUGCUUGCUGUUGAGACUUGAAAUCUGAUUUUC